UACAGGGGGAUAACAGUUAGAAAUGACUGCUAAUACCGCAUACGAUCCAAUCUUGGCAUCGAGACUGGAUGAAAGGUGGCCUCUAUUUAUAAGCUAUCACUGAAGGAGGGGAUUGCGUCUGAUUAGCUAGUUGGAGGGGUAACGGCCCACCAAGGCGAUGAUCAGUAGCCGGUCUGAGAGGAUGAACGGCCACAUUGGGACUGAGACACGGCCCAG
rnacentral:rRNA from 1 species